CCUCUCCCCAUGAUUAUAUUCACAAACUACAUCCUAACGCCGAAACUGCAGUUGGCUAGGCGAUUCGUUCCGUCCCGGAGCGUGUCAACCCUAAAACACUCCACCGCCUCUUUCAAAUUCUAACACUCUUAAGCCCUAAACCUGAAACAGCAUUUUCAAUCCCACAAUAAAAUUGAUUCCAUAAUCCGAAUAAAAGAAAUGGUUCAGCAAAAACCCAUCAAAUUUUUUUGCAUGUCGAGAGGAAAUCAAUAAGCCGUGAAGCGAUUCACAACGAUGCCAUUGUGGGCUCAAAGAGUUUCCAUUUCCAAGAUUUUCUCUACAGCUUUUCUCCAUGGUCACGCCCAGAUAGAGUCAUGCCUCUUCCACUCCUCCACUCCUUGGUUCGUAAAAGUAGUGUGUACUCUGUGUGUUCGUGACUCGCAGUUUCUCACUGUUUUUAAUUCGGAUUAUUUCUGCAAAAAUUUGAACCCUUUUAUAGCUUUCAGUGUUAUUCAACAUGUAAAUAGUAGACUAAAUAACCCCAGAUUGGCAUUUAGCUUCUUUCAAUAUACAAGGCUUCAUUUAAAUCUCAUUCAUUCGAUUCCUACUUUUGAGUUGCUUCUGAGGUCACUCUGCCAGGUGGGCCUGCACGAUUUGGCUAAUUUAUCAUAUGAAUACAUGAAAGCAGAUGGAUUUUUCCCCAAUAGCUCGGUUUUAGAUUAUACAAUUUCGUCCUUUGUGAAUGCCGGCAGAAUUAGGACUGCCGAAGAAAUUUUGAUUUCACUAGCUGAGUUGUAUAUUGACAAAGAUGACGUUGUUAGUUCUUUUGUAUGCAACAAUUUGUUGAGCUUGUUAUGUAAAAGAAAUCAGGUUGAUGAGGCAGUUGGUUUUUUUAGAGAGCAUAUUUUGAGUUUACGAGGGUUCUGCCCAGAUACAUGUAGUUUUAAUAUAAUUAUGAGGGGAUUGUGCAAAGUGGCAAACGUAGAUAAGGCUUUUGAGUUUUUUGAUAGUAUGAGGAGUUUUGAUUGUUUGCCAGAUCUUAUUACGUACAAUACACUCAUUAAUGGGCUCUGUACGGUUGGUAAUGUGGACAGAGCACAGAAGCUAUUGAGAGAAGUUCAAUCACAAGGUGAAUUUUUGCCAGACAUUGUGACAUAUACAUCAAUUAUUUCUGGAUACUGCAAAUUGGGUAAGAUGGAGAGGGCUGCUGAUCUUUUUGAUGAAUUGAGUAAUCGUGGGAUUAGGCCAAACUUAAUUACUUUCAACGUUCUUAUUGAUGGUUUUGGCAAAAAGGGAGAAAUGGUUUCAGCAUCGGAGAUAUAUGAGAGGAUGGUUGGUGGUGGCUAUCAUCCUGAUGUUUUCUCCUUCACCUCUCUCAUUGAUGGUCAUUGUCGGGCUGGUGGGUUAGAGCAAGGUUUGAAGCUGUGGGAUGAAAUGAAUGAGAGGAAUGUGUCUCCAAAUUUAUUUACUUUCUCUGUUCUCAUUAAUGCUCUGUGCAAGGAGAAUAGACUAAAUGAAGCUCGUGAUUUAUUAAGGCAGAUGCAAUGGAGGGAAGAUAUCAUUCCCCAACCAUUUGUAUAUAAUCCUGUAAUUGAUGGAUUUUCUAAGGCUGGUAAUGUAGACGAGGCGAAUGCUAUUGUCGCAGAAAUGGAGGUGAAAGGAUGCAGCCCUGAUAAGCUGACAUUCACCAUUCUUAUUCUGGGGCAUUGUAUGAAAGGAAGAAUGUCUGAAGCAAUAAGCAUUUUUGAUAAGAUGUUGACAUUGGGUUGUGUCCCAGAUAGUAUUACCACAACCUCUUUAGUAUCUUGCCUCAGAAAGGCAGGGAUGACAAAUGAAGCCUAUAAGAUAGAGCAACAUAUAUCAAAUGAUAUGCAGUCAGGUUUAUCAACUUCAGAGAGAAACAAACCAUUCAGGAGUAACAUGGAUAUUACUGUGGCUGUUUAGUUGAAAUCAUUAUCUUGCUUUGAGCUUAGCAUUUGUGCAAGGCCUCACCCGAACGCACUUCAGUCAUAAGCAUUUCAGCAUGUUCUAUUUACUCACCAGUGGCAGUAAGUUCACUUCCUUGUUUACUCUAUCGAAUUAAUUGCUACUAUCUUCCCAUUCUUUCAUUUUAAAGUAGAUACUUUUAUGCUUCAAAUUCUUAUGGGUAGAUAGAUUUGUUGCUUUUGUCUUUCUUGUUUGAUCAUAUGUGUUGAUGAAUAAGUUAUUAGCCAUAAUACAAUCAAAUCAAAAGUUAUCAGACCCAGAAGUUGUAUUGGAAGAAAUAAGUGGAAAAAAAUUGCAGGGCGGAAGCUACUUAGUGUAUUAGAGA
rnacentral:lncRNA from 1 species